UACGGAGGGAGCUAGCGUUGUUCGGAAUUACUGGGCGUAAAGCGCACGUAGGCGGCUUUGUAAGUCAGAGGUGAAAGCCUGGAGCUCAACUCCAGAACCGCCUUUGAGACUGCAUCGCUUGAAUCCAGGAGAGGUGAGUGGAAUUCCGAGUGUAGAGGUGAAAUUCGUAGAUAUUCGGAAGAACACCAGUGGCGAAGGCGGCUCACUGGACUGGUAUUGACGCUGAGGUGGCGAAAAGCGUGGGGAGCAAACAGG
rnacentral:rRNA from 1 species